CCCUUUCUAUCAUGGACAUAAAAGCUGUGACACAGCCUGGCAGAGCCCCGGAGCUGGUCCCAACCUCUCAUCCCAUCCUCGUGCCCUCCAUCAGAAAACUACAGCCCGAGGAAGCGGCUCGGAGGCAUCUUGAAGACUUGGAUCUGGUUUCUGGCCUCGCAGAAUGAAAAUCCGGAGACUGUGCUCACAUUUCCAUGGCUGGGGGUGAUCUCCGUUCUGUGGCAGGAGCCUGGAGCCCUUUGCUUUGUGGAAAUGAAUACAUUAUGAUGGGCACGAGCCAGAAGGAUCCUGCCUGGGUUUAGCUCUGCUGAGGCCAGAGUGCUGCAAGGAUGGGGUAGGUCCACGGUUUCUUGUAUGUGAGUGAUGCUAAUUAACAUCUGGGGAAUAACAGAAUUGUAGGGGUUG